CGCUCCCAAAUUUUUCGAGCUUCAGUCAGUUAGCCCUCGUUGACUUGCUGCUAAGAGUUAGGAAGACAGCUCCUGUGCGGACUCAGAAGACGCCACUGAGCAAAUUGUCAUUCACGGACUCUAUUAUUUUGGAGAACAGUUUUCUGGCAUCCGCCGUCAUGGGUACUCGAUGUCCGCCCUUGGCAGUCAGCAGGCCGGGUCUGGACACAAACACUGAUACGAGACGACUCGCAAUCCAGGAUUACAAGUUGUCUCUUUGCACAGAUGGAAAAGUACAACUUCAGCACAAUUGAUUAUAACUAUAGCAACAGCCUUUAAAAUGCUUUCCCUGUCUCACCAUGAUCGAGCUGUGUGACUCGACUUCCCACUGGACUUUGGAUUGUCUCCCUUGAUCCUUGACCCCCGCUUGGACACGGCCUACGCCCCCCUAUAGCUCCCGACUACCUGCUUGUUUCAUGGAUCUAUGAGCCUGCCCCGCCCCCUUUUUGGACCUCUUGCUCAACAUUUACGGUGACACUCAACAUUUAAUUCUCUACAAAUAGUCGCACAUACCAUACACUCUCUUGGAUUUUUGUCAAACUCCAUUCUCUAGUUGAUGAUAUUGUUAUUGUUUGUGGACGAUCUGUCAUUUCCUUUGUUUGUUUUCUUGUUUUUGUAUUUACUUUCCAUAAGUGCUCUUAUUUUGGUUUCCACUUCCUGCUUGUCACGCUGACCACUGUGUUUUGUUCCUCACCUGCCAUUGAUUGCCAAUAAGUCCACGCUUGCUGCCAAUCAACAUGUGUCUGUUAUGAUCCGCUGUCCGGAUCAUAUUAUGAUUAGAUUUUUGAGUCUUUUGUGUUUUCUGUUUGUUUUGAACUCCUGGGGCGGUUUAGCUCGGUUGGUAGAGUGGCCGUGCCAGCAACUUGAGGGUUGCAGGUUCGAUCCCCGCUUCCGCCAUUCUAGUCACUGCCGUUGUGUCCUUGGGCAAGACACUUUACCCACCUGCUCCCAGUGCCACCCACACAGGUUUGAAUGUAACUUAGAUAUUGGGUUUCACUAUGUAAAGCGCUUUCUUUGAGUCCCUAGAGAAAAAGCGCUAUAUAAAUAUAAUUCACUUCACUUCGGUUCCUGUUUGUGCACCUCUCAGUUGGUUACCAUAGUUACUUAUUAUUUUCUCCUGCCGCUUGUUCCGGACGCACACCUGUGUUUUGUAAUCACUGACAUUAUUUAAGCCUGCCUUCUCCCGUCAGUCAGUCUGGCUUCCUAGUUUGUUUUCGUACAACAACCGACGACUUCUGUUUCCUGCUAGCUUCCACGCUAGGCUCUUUAUCUUCUAGCUCCCAUGCUAGCUCUUUUAGUUGUUUGCUUUAAGUGCUAUGAGCAUGUUUUUCUUUGUCAAAGUCUGAUUUAUUUUUAAUUAAAUCAUUUAUUCCGACCUUCACGCUGUGUUUGAGGCUUGUCUGCAUGCCUGGGAGAACGAAACCUGCACCACGGUGCGACCCG